UACCAGCACCCCGAGUGGUCGGGACGUUUUAUUGGGCCUAAAGCAUCCGUAGCCGGUUCUGCAAGUCUUCCGUUAAAUCCACCUGCUUAACAGAUGGGCCGCGGAAGAUACUACAGAGCUAGGAGGCAGGAGAGGCAAGCGGUACUCAGUGGGUAGGGGUAAAAUCCGUUGAUCCAUUGAAGACCACCAGUGGCGAAGGCGGCUUGCCAGAAUGCGCUCGACGGUGAGGGAUGAAAGCUGGGGAGCAAACGG
rnacentral:rRNA from 1 species